GAAUUCUCCAGGCAAGAGUACUGGAGUGGGUUGCCAUGUCCUCCUCCAGGGGAAAUUCCCAACCCAGGGAUUGAACCCAGGUCUCCUGCACUGCAAGCAGAUUCUUUACCACUGAGCCACCAGGGAAGCCUCACUGGGUUAACAAAUGUGUGAAUAAAUACAAAGAGCAAAUAGACAACUGCUCGAGCUACAAUCACAGUGUUUGUUGUUAUCUUCUCUUGUAUUCUAGGCUGAUUUGAGGGGAGAAGAAACAUAGUAUUUCUUGUGGAAAAUUUAUAUUAGAUGUGGAAUUAAAUGACUGAACGCCAUUUAGCAAAGAUAGCUAUCCUAGUUACUUUUCUUUUUUUUUAAUCAACAAACAUUUGCUGAGUACAUCCUAAGUGCCGUCACUUUCUAGGCAGUGGGGAAGCAGGGCUGAGGAAGACAGACAUGGGACCUGGCUUCCUGGAGCUUAGUGUCUUGUGGAAGAAAGGAGGCAAACAAAAACAUGAGCAAGACCAUUUCUCUUGUAAUGUGUAAUGCAGGAAACAGGAUAUGAUAGUGUAGAGUGUACCUGGGGAGAUGGGUGCCCUCCUUUAGAGUUAUAAAGGAAAGCUCUUCUGAAUAUUUAAGUUUUGAGAUGAGACCUUGAGGAAAAGAUGGAAGACACUUUGUAAAGAAACAUUUUACUCUCUCCAAGCAGAAAGGAGGAUGAGUUCAAAGGCUAGAGGUAAUUAAAAGUUUAUCUUGAUCAAGGGGAGGGGAAGGAAGCUAAUGAGACUCUAGAGGAAGAGUGGGCACAUUUUUUCUCUCAAGGUUCUGGCAGUAAAUAUUUUCGGCUUUUCAGGACAUGUGUUGUCUGUUAAAAUUCAACUCUGUUUUACAACACAAAAGUAGCCAUAGACGUUCAUGAAUGAGUGUGGCUGUGUUCCAGUAAAACUUUGCAAGAACAGGCAAUGGGGUAGAUUUGGCCCAUGGGCUGUAGUUUGCCGUGGUCUGGAGGUGGUGGUGGUUUAGUCGCUAAGUUGUGUCUGACUCUUGUGACCCCAAGGACCAUAUGUCCAUGGGAUUCUCCAGGCAAGAAUACUGGAGUGGAACUCUGGGAGCUGCGGCGGCUCGAGGUGCGGCCUUGGGGGCUGCGGGUGGCGGCCGGCAGGCAGAAAGAAGCAGCUCUGAGUCAGAGCUUGAGCUAGAAAGAAGAGAUGAAAAAUAGCAGUUGGAUCAGAAAGAACUGGCUUCUUGUAGCUGUGGUUUCCUUCAUAGGUGUCCAUCUUGGAACGUAUUUUAUACAGAGGGCUGCAAAACAGUCUGUAAAGUCUCAGCCUGAAGGCAAACAAAAGAAUUUGAAUAAUGAAGUAAAAUAAAUAUUUGGAAUUACUAAAAUGUCA
rnacentral:lncRNA from 1 species